rnacentral:rRNA from 1 species
CGAGCGGUAACAGAGAGUAGCUUGCUACUCUGCUGACGAGCGGCGGACGGGUGAGUAAUGCUUGGGAAUAUGCCUUAUGGUGGGGGACAACAGUUGGAAACGACUGCUAAUACCGCAUGAUGUCUACGGACCAAAGUGGGGGACCUUCGGGCCUCACGCCAUAAGAUUAGCCCAAGUGGGAUUAGCUAGUUGGUGAGGUAAUGGCUCACCAAGGCGACGAUCCCUAGCUGGUUUGAGAGGAUGAUCAGCCACACUGGGACUGAGACACGGCCCAGACUCCUACGGGAGGCAGCAGUGGGGAAUAUUGCACAAUGGGCGCAAGCCUGAUGCAGCCAUGCCGCGUGUGUGAAGAAGGCCUUCGGGUUGUAAAGCACUUUCAGUAAGGAGGAAAGGUUAGUCACUAAUAUUGGCUAGCUGUGACGUUACUUACAGAAGAAGCACCGGCUAACUCCGUGCCAGCAGCCGCGGUAAUACGGAGGGUGCGAGCGUUAAUCCGAAUUACUGGGCGUAAAGC